rfam:Dipodomys ordii contig_26970, whole genome shotgun sequence.
GGUGGCUCAGUGGUAGAGCACUUGCCUGGCAUGCACGAGGCCCUGGGUUCGAUUCCCCAGCACCA